CGUUUCUCUUUUCUUUUCUAUUCUUUUCCUACUAUUCAUCAUUUCCCUCUGAGAAUCUUACUGGAACAACAUCAAUUGAACAAAUUCGAUUAAAUUAAAUAUUCUACAUCGAUCGACAACCUCAUUAGGGCUUCUUUUCAAUUUCUUCUUCUCUCUUUGUUCUUCGUACAUAUUACAAAUCGAUUAGAACAAUUGAAUUUCGAACUCCAUUCGUUCCAAACAAGAUCGAUUUGGUUAAUUUGAUUGGAAAUGUUCUCAAGUUUCUCAAACUCAUGAGGUUGACAAGGGAUGCCAUUUCAGCAUCCAUUUGGAUAGAUCAGCACCUAAGAGUUGGUCUCUCAUUGUCCUCGACUAAUGCGACCGAAAUCUACUUCAACAUGGGUGUAGCCGUUGUGAUUGAAUGCAUGUUUAAGGUGCGUGAUCAUUCUUGAAGUAAGACAUCAUAGUUGUCCAUUUUUGCUUUCUUCCGCGAAAGCUUACAUUGUUUUGGUGGAAGAGGUUAGGAACAAUUUUCUACCUGUAUUCACAACCCUCAAUUUAUUUUUAAUUUCAUGCAUCGUGGCAUCAUUACUCCGAUACUGGAUAUGGGAUGCCAUGUUGUUGUUGCUUUUGAGGAGGUUUCUAUUAUGGAUGUUGGUACCUCAAUGGACAUGAUAGCCAAAAUUUGUUAGGAAUGAAAAGUACAAGUUUCUUCAUCUCAACGACCAAUUUCCCCUUCCUUGCCCCUUCAGGGCAGAAACCUCCCUACGUUGUUGCAACUAUCACUCGCAAUACUCUUUAAGACUUAGCAGAAGACAAACUGGAGGAGUGGAGUAUCCCAGCAGGCAUUGUGGUGGUCCCUUUUUCGUUAAACAGAAUGAAGACAGAACUAUUAAGAAUUUAUGGGCUAUCUCUGUUGGUUCUAUGAACCUUAUUUAUUGAACUAAAGGUUGUUUUUGUAGCAUCUUAUGCGACAUUGGCUUUUCAAUUUAUCUUUUUUCUGCAUAAUAUUUUGAGGUAAUACUCAAUAGAAAUAGAGAUUCGUUUAAAUAAGACUUCUCAAUGUUUUUGGGUACAACUUUGUUCAAGUCUAAUACAAUUUGCCUAUGCUAUCCACGAAAGGGUAGACUUAGCUUUGCAUAA